rnacentral:rRNA from 1 species
UACAGAGGGGGCAAGCGUUGUUCGGAAUUACUGGGCGUAAAGGGCGCGUAGGUGGCCUUCUAAGUUGAACGUGAAAUCCCUGGGCUCAACCCAGGAACUGCGUCCAAGACUGGGAGGCUUGAAUCCGGGAGAGGGAUGCGGAAUUCCAGGUGUAGCGGUGAAAUGCGUAGAUAUCAGGAAGAACACCAAUGGCGAAGGCAGCUCUCUGGGACGGUACUGACGCUGAGACGCGAAAGCGUGGGGAGCGAACAGG